CCUACAAAUGUGUGCACAGGCAGCACACAGACUUUCACUGGCAUCUCCCAGCAGAUUACACACACUGCUGAUUGCAUCAUGGGUGGCCUUUCCACACCAGCUGUGGUUUGCUGAUUUCCUCUCGGAUCCCUUUCCUCUUUCACUUCGAUAAGAAGAAGGACGUCACAGGCACCAUUGAGCUAACAGAAUACAAUGCACGCAAUUUCAGCAACAUUAAUUAAGGCUCAGACGCAGAACAAAGGCAUACAACAGGGAAGAAGAGAAGGUGUCACCGCCCACAAUGAGAUCUGCUUCCUUCCGGGUCAGCGAAUCGCUUCUCUCUGCUAUGGCCUGGGAAAAUGGUAGAAGAUGGCCCAAGGGCUUGGGCCCCUGCACCUGCGUGGGAGACCCAGAAGAAGCUCCUGGCUCCUGGCUUGAGAUCAGCUCAGCUCUGGCCAUUACACCCAUUUGGGGA